rnacentral:lncRNA from 1 species
GAGAGCUGCAGCCGUCAGGGUCUUAACCUCGCGCUUCCCGCCCGCAGCUUUUCGGCCCCGCGGAGCCCAACUGCCGCCGGUGAUCGGUGCCCGCAGCGCGCGCAGCCAUCCGCAACCCCACCGCCCGGCGCCUGCUGAAAGGAGGGGCUCCCACCGGCCAAACAACGGGGGGGGGAAGGGGUAGGAGGAUGGACAGGUGGGGCGUCCGCCACCGCCUGGCCACCCGCUCCCGGAACGCGGCCCUCUGUGAAAUCCGCCGUGAUGUCUGUGGCCUUCAGCGCCGGGCUCUUCACCUUUAAGGCCAGAGAACAAAGUCUGGAAGCACUUGGCCCCAAGAUCAAAUAUCCAGCCCACGCCAGCGGUGUUUUUAGAAGUCACUGAGGACAAAUGAGGGGGCUCCCAAUGUGGAGAGUCACCCCACUGUCUUAGAUAAGGUCAUAAAUUAUGGUGAUCAACAUCCUCACACAUUAAGAUUCGGGAAGUGUUAGAAGUAGGCCUUUGUAAGAUGUUACGCAGGGUACUACCCUUGACUUAAGGAGCAAAUGACAGAAAUUGGGCGGAAAGGUGUUGUUUCAGAGUCUACUAAAUGGGUGGCCUACUUAAAGCUAGCACCAUUUGAUGCAGUGUGACUGUUAACGGAAGGUUUUAAGUGAGCCGCCUUUGUAUCUGCUGUCAUUAGACCAUUUGGAAAUGGAUAAUUAUUUGAUGAUCUGCAGUUCUUUCUCUAGGCAAUGUGCAGUAGAAUGUGGAAAGAAUACUAUGUACCAGCAUUAAGUGUAAAACAUGAAAGGACCAAUAAUUCACUAUUCCCAUUUGGUUUCUUUCUUCCCUUUAAUAACCGCUAAACAGAACUGAUUAAUCUUGAACGUUGAAGAUUGCUAAUUAUUUCCUCCUUUGAUUGCCUUCUGUCAUAGCCCUUUUACUCUAGUUGGGGACGCUAGAAUGCCCUUCAACCUCCUUCUCUCAAAUAGGGUUACUUUAAAGCACCCCAACGCAAAGUUAAGUCAAAAAGAAAAACAGCGAGGAUAGGCAACAAAGUUCGUAGUGUUUCAUUUUUAUUCCAUUUUACUUUCAAAGAAAGUCUUGAAUCAUGACGAAAUCACUAGAAGAAGUAGAGCAAUCAAAAGAAGAAAAAAAGCGUUCCCCCCCACCCAAUAUUUCAAAUGACAAGAGUCCAAAAAAGAAAAGAAAAAGGAAGAUGAUUGGUAAAAAGGAGGGAAGUGCAUUAUGUAUACAGAAAGUUUUCGCAUAGAUGUUAGUUGCUUCAAGUCCCAAAUAAACAACAACUAAAUGAAUUAGCACUUGGAGGAAAAACCCCUUCCAGUUAUUGAGUUGGGUAAAUGUUUAGUCUUCUUAAAGUGUUACUAAGAGAUUAAGGAAAAUGUCGUUGGCUAUAUGCCAACAAUAAUACAUGCAACAUACAUACCAUUAUCACACAUAAUUAACUGCUCUUAAGAAAUAUGAAAACUGAGGAACGGAACUCUUAUGUUGUUAAAUGUCAUACAAUUACUUGAAACUUGAAUUAGGGUUUCAUAGAUAUAAAUGAGGCAGGGUCCCUACAUCUGCCAAUAAUUUUCACAGCUUAUUGUAAAAGCAGUGAAGUUUUCACUUGGACUUUGAAAAGAAAAAAACAUAUGACUCAUGAGCAAGGCCAUGGAUACACUAAAUUCUUAUGCCUACUGAAUUUGAGUUUGAAUAAUUACCCCAAAUCUGUUUCUCACAUUGAUAACUUAUAAAACAAUACUUUUAUUAACCUUAAGAGUUGUGUUAAGUUCAAAUUUGUGAACUUGGUAAGAUUAAGAAUUUGUAUAUAGGCCGGGCGUGGUGGCUCACACUUGUAAUCCCAACACUUUGGGAGGCUGAGGCAGGCAGAUCACCUGAGGUCAGGAGUGCAAGACCAGCCUGACCAACAUGGUGAAGCUGGUCGCUACUAAAAAUACAAAAAAAUUAGCCGGGCGUGGUUGUGGGCACCUGUAAUUCCAGCUACUCAGGAGGCUGAGGCUGGGGAAUCACUUGAACCCAGGAGGCAGUGGUUGCAGUGAGCCAAGAUCGCACCACUGCACUCCAGCCUGGGCGACAGAGGGAGAUACUAUCUCAAAAGAAAAAAAGAAUUUGUAUAUAAAAAUAGAGAAAAAAGUUUGUCCUCAAUAUCUUUUAUAAAAUAAGUGUCCCUUCCCAUUCCUUGAUAAAUGAAAGCAGUGGCUUUUUAUACCAAAUUUUCUUUACCAGAGCACUUUUAUCACAAUUAAAUUCUGUAUGUUGCUUUAUGGAUUCCAAUUGCUUUUGCCA